rnacentral:lncRNA from 1 species
GAAUUUUGAUUUGAUGUUUUUGUCAUUUUAGAUUUGAUUGUCUUAAGAGUGGAUUGUAACCGGACAUGGUGGAGUAAUUUAAAGAUCAAAUUCGUGCUUACUUGUUCCAUUCUAUCAAAAUCUGACAUUUCUCUUUUUCGUGUCUUUCGGAGUACUUUUGAGGGAUUUUCAUUCUUCGCGUUUGGUUGCGAAUCUCACGAAUUUUUCAUAUUUUUCGGAGUAUUUUUCGGGGGAUUUUCAUUCUUUGC